AAAAAAGCAGGGUCCUGUUGCCCAUGUGAAUAGGUCUCUCGUAAACUUCAGGGAAAUCAGUGUCAUUGUUAUUGGGUGAACCUCUGUUUUCUUUCCCUUGUUUGUGGCUGAAGGUUCAGUAAAUGAUGGCACAUUU